rnacentral:rRNA from 1 species
GACGUAGGGCGCGAGCGUUGUCCGGAUUUAUUGGGCGUAAAGAGCUCGUAGGCGGCUUGUCGCGUCAACUGUGAAAACCCGUGGCUCAACCAUGUGGUCUGCAGUCGAUACGGGCAGGCUAGAAUUCGGUAGGGGAGACUGGAAUUCCUGGUGUAGCGGUGAAAUGCGCAGAUAUCAGGAGGAACACCGAUUGCGAAGGCAGCUCGCUGGAACGUUACUGACGCUGAGACGCGAAAGCGUGGGGAGCAAACAGG